GAUGAACGCUGGCGGCGUGCUUAAUACAUGCAAGUCGAACGAGGACACUUUGUAGCAAUACGAGGUGUUCCUAGUGGCGAAUGGGUGCGUAACACGUAGGUGACCUGCCCCGAAGUGGGGAAUAACAGUUCGAAAGGACUGCUAAUACCGCAUGUGGUCCCGGGGGCUAGAGUCCCGGGUCCAAAGUCGCAAGACGCUUUGGGAGGGGCCUGCGGCCCAUCAGGUAGUUGGUAGGGUAACGGCCUACCAAGCCGUCGACGGGUAGGGGAUCUGAGAGGAUGGUCCCCCACACUGGCACUGACACACGGGCCAGACUCCUACGGGAGGCAGCAGUAGGGAAUACUGCACAAUGGGCGAAAGCCUGAUGCAGCAACGCCGCGUGCGCGAUGAAGGCCUUCGGGUCGUAAAGCGCUUUUCGGGGGGAUGAGAAAGGACAGUACCCCCGGAAUAAGUCACGGCUAACUACGUGCCAGCCGCCGCAGUAACAC
rnacentral:rRNA from 1 species